GGUCCAGACUCCUACGGGAGGCAGCAGUGGGGAAUAUUGCACAAUGGGGGGAACCCUGAUGCAGCGACGCCGCGUGGGUGAAGGAGCACCUCGGUGCGUAAAGCCCUGUCAGCAGGGAAGAAAAUGACGGUACCUGAAGAAGAAGCCCCGGCUAACUACGUGCCAGCAGCCGCGGUAAUACGUAGGGGGCAAGCGUUAUCCGGAUUUACUGGGUGUAAAGGGGGCGCAGACGGCGAUGCAAGCCAGGAGUGAAAGCCCGGGGCCCAACCCCGGGACUGCUCUGGAAACUGCGGCGCUGGAGUACGGGAGGGGCAGGCGGAAUUCCUGGUGUAGCGGUGAAAUGCGUAGAUAUCAGGAGGAACACCGGCGGCGAAGGCGGCCUGCUGGACCGUGACUGACGUUGAGGCUCGAGAGCGUGGGGAGCAAACAGGAUUAGAUACCCGUGUA
rnacentral:rRNA from 1 species